GAAGUAGGAUCCUUAACCGCCGCUUCAACCUCCAUCGACGACGAUGAUGCCAACUCCAGCACCUUCCUUUCACCACCGCCACCACCACCACCGCUUACACCGACAACACCGCUAUCAUUCUUAGCCAAAUUAUCAUCAUCACACAAAACAACAGCGUCGUUGUCGUUUGGAACCAACUUGGCUGCUCGCAUUAGUAGAGAUUUCUCAACGAUUCUCAAGCUCAGAUCCUCGUUCGCCUCUUCGUCGUCGCCGCUGCUCACUUCUAUCACCGGCUUCUCUUCUUCUUCUUCUUCCCGAAAUUUUCCUUUUAGCUUGUUUCCCCGUGCCAUUCUUGUGUCUAGAGAAUAAAUGAAAAUCCUUAAUUUGAAUUAUGCUGGUUCAGAAGCAAGAGUUCCUCGUCGCCCACCGAGAAGAGGAAGGGUCGCUAGGGUUUGUGCCCUUAUAAAACUU
rnacentral:misc_RNA from 1 species